GUCAAUGUGGCCGAGUGGUUAUGGCGUGUGACUCAAGCGAUUUCAAAGCUUCCUCCUCUUCUGAGGCGCAUUCUCAUGGGGCAACCCGCGUGGGUUCGAAUCCCACCGUUGACA